CACGUAGGGGGGCGAGCGUUGUCCGGAAUCAUUGGGCGUAAAGCGCGUGUAGGCGGUUCGGUAAGUCUGCUGUGAAAGUCCAGGGCUCAACCCUGGGGAUGCCGGUGGAUACUGCCGAACUAGAGUGCGGAAGAGGCGAGUGGAAUUCCCGGUGUAGCGGUGAAAUGCGCAGAUAUCGGGAGGGAACACCAAUUGCGAAGGCAGCUCGCUGGGACGUUACUGACGCUGAGACGCGAAAGCGUGGGGAGCAAACAGG
rnacentral:rRNA from 1 species